rnacentral:misc_RNA from 1 species
GAUGAAGAACGCAGCGAAAUGCGAUAAGUAAUGUGAAUUGCAGAAUUCAGUGAAUCAUCGAAUCUUUGAACGCACAUUGCGCCCGCCAGUAUUCUGGCGGGCAUGCCUGUCCGAGCGUCAUUUCAACCCUCGAACCCCUCCGGGGGGUCGGCGUUGGGGAUCGGCCCUUUACGGGGCCGGCCCCGAAAUACAGUGGCGGUCUCGCCGCAGCCUCUCCUGCGCAGUAGUUUGCACACUCGCAUCGGGAGCGCGGCGCGUCCACAGCCGUUAAACACCCAACUUCUGAAUGUUGACCUCGAAUCAGGUAGGAAUACCCGCUGAACUUAAGCAUAUCAAUAAGCGAGGA